rnacentral:tRNA from 1 species
GGGCGGUUAGCUCAAUGGCAGAGCGUCUGCUUGACGUGCAGAAGGUUGGAGGUUCGAGCCCUCCACCGCCCA